rnacentral:SRP_RNA from 1 species
GCGAUGAUGGUUGGGUCCCACACGGCGGAAGCCCGCGAACCCCGCCAGGUCCGGGAGGAAGCAACGGUAAGCGGUCACUUCCGGGUGUUGUGGGGUAGCCUAA